CACAGACGGCGGGUGCUCCUGGAAUGUGAUCGUCCUGGGACCAAGGAGAACAGAACUCUAACGAUGACCUUUGAGCUGAGAGGGGGAGAAGGAGGCCCUUCCCGACGGAAUGCCCGCUGCCAGGGAGACUGGCCUGGCCGAGGAGCACAGUGAUUACAUUAUUCCAGCCUGGGGAGAAGAAAGUCAAUUCAAAAACUGCUCGUUCAUGUCAUGUGACAAGACAAUGUGGCUCCGGGAAGGCUCCCCUGGCACCGAGCCCUGAGCUGGCAACUCAAGCGGCCCCUGAAAAAUGAGACUCUGGGUGACAGCAAAGGACCUAAUGGGAAAGAUCUUUCUAUAUUUGUGGAGAAAAAUGCAAGCUCCUGUUUUAAAGAAAGCUUUUGGUCCAAGGCUCUAGCUGGGAGAAGUGCAAAAGUGAAGAGGAAGCCCCCCCUCAGGGACCAGGGCUUCCCUGACCCUUCCCCCCUCACCUCUGCCCACCG